rnacentral:rRNA from 1 species
GUGGGGAAUCUUCCACAAUGGACGAAAGUCUGAUGGAGCAACGCCGCGUGAGUGAAGAAGGGUUUCGGCUCGUAAAGCUCUGUUGUCGGGGACGAAUGUGCAGUAUUUGAAUAAAGUACUGUAAUGACGGUACCUGACGAGGAAGCCACGGCUAACUACGUGCCAGCAGCCGCGGUAAUACGUAGGUGGCAAGCGUUGUCCGGAAUGAUUGGGCGUAAAGGGAGCGCAGGCGGGAAGGUAAGUCGGUCUUAAAAGUGCGGGGCUCAACCCCGUGAUGGGAUCGAAACUAUCUUUCUUGAGUGCAGGAGAGGAAAGUGGAAUUCCUAGUGUAGCGGUGAAAUGCGUAGAUAUUAGGAGGAACACCAGUGGCGAAGGCGACUUUCUGGACUGUAACUGACGCUGAGGCUCGAAAGCCAGGGGAGCGAACGGGAUUAGAAACCCCAGUAGUCC